rnacentral:lncRNA from 1 species
UGACUCAGAAGAUAGCCUGUUCCUAACUCAGAAGUCAGUACCUGAGGCUGUGAGGCCAGCAAGACAACUUUACUAUAGCUUGAGGUCAAAACCAAUAUCUCCCAGAGAUCUAGAAGAAAGCGCAGAAGACAAUUCAUCGUCCGCUUCCUACGAUGAAGAAUCCAAAUCUGACAACAAGAGGAGAAGAAAGAAAUACACGCUGCCAAAAUUCAGUUUCCCUUUCCUUACAGAGCAGAAGUGUAAGCUGUUACCUUCCCAGAACAAAUGCCUUCAUGUAAGGAUAACCAAUACUUAAAUACACAUUUGUUUGCUGGCUGUUGUUGUAUAUGUUUAGCAAAUACUUUGCAAAUGUUAUUUAGUGCUAAAUAUUUUCCUUUUUACAGACUUAUCUGAUCGGAGGCUUCUUUGAAAGUGUCAGAGUCGGGGGGCCGAGGCAGGGAGAGGAUCCGGAGUCAUCGUUACCAACAGUUGACUUGGAUGGGGAGUCCAUAUCUCCGUUGUCCGAAGAAGACGAAGAAAGGGCAGAAGAGGAAGACAUCAAAGUGGUGGAGAGGAAACGUUUUGUGGUUUCAUCAAAAGCAAAGAGCCAACAAACCUGGUGCAACCCGUUAAAACAACAAAGAACGGGGAAAGCUAGUAUGCCAAACAAGACGCAUCACAAGGAAGACAAGCAAAUAUGUUGCAUAAAAUAGCAGUCAAGGCAUCCACAUUGGAGAUCACAACAAUGUCUUCAGAUACAGAGAUCUCUGUCAAUGGAGAGUCUUCUUGUCGAGUUCUGGAGAGGAAUGAUGAACAAGCAACAAGUGACGGAAACUUUCUGGCCCAAACUGAAACACCAAAGACAAAGAGACGCUCCUCUCGAGGAGACAAGAAAGUUAUUUUUCUGCAAAAAGCAAGCAAGGACGAGCUGCGUAACGACAAUGAUGCUACAGUUGGUGAGCCACGUAGGCUACAAGGAUCCACUCCAAACAACAGAGAAGCAUCCACAACUGUAACAGAGCCUCAAACUGAUAUUUCACACUCAGACGAUCCGGUCCAGACAAACCAGGCAGGGGACGAACUGCAGAAGAGGACGAAGAGGAAAAGGAAAAAGAAGAAAAAAGGAGAAGAGGUAGUCGAGACUCCCAGCCCAAGUGGUGAGCUGGAAUUUAAUGAAGAAAAUAGGAUGGAGAUCUUAUCACGUGAUGAGAACGUACUGAGUCGGGAGAAGAGAGACAUUCCCGAUUCAAGGAAAAAGAAUAAAUCCGAGGCUUUUGUUGCGCAGGAAAUGGAUGGAAGCUUAGAAGCUGAUUUGAGGGUGGGGGACUCUUUGAUGUCGGUGAGCUGUAACGUGGAGAAAAAGAAAAAAAGUGGUGAGGAUGUUGAGCAGUUACAGUUUGGCGCAGUUGACAAACUUCCAAAUAACGAUGCUGAGAUACAGAAGAAGAAGAAGAAGAAGAAGAAGAAGAAAAAGAAAAAACAAGAGGGGAUUGUAAUUACAGAGGAGUGUGAAAAAGAGAAGGCAUCAAAUUGGGCUUUAGAUUUGCCGCCAAUGCUGACAGAGCAGUUAGAGGAGUCGGGAAAUUGUUUAGAAAAUACUGCAGCGUCUCAGGAAACAUUAGAAUCCAGUUACGUCAAAAGGAAAAAGCACAAAAAGCGGCAAAAGUUAUCUUCUCAAGAUGGAGAAGAGUGUGUAGAUGUGAACUUUUGUAUUGAUGAUACUGUAACCACGGCUAAAGGUUCAGGGAUGUCACUGAAAAAGAAGAAGAAAACUAUAUUUGAGGAGGAAAAUAUCUCUUGCACUCAUGAAGGAAAUGAAAAGGUUGGUAAUACCCAGAAAACCAAAGAGGGUGUUGAAGACCAAAUUGCUGAAGUAACUAAGACAAAGAAGAAAAAAAAAAAAAUGAGUGAAAUAAUUAGCAGGAAUGUGUCCGAAGACAAAGUGGCCCGAAGCGAUGAUUCAGUGUCUGUACGGGAAAAAGAAAAGAAGAGGACCUCUUCCUUCCUCGAUGCUGAUGCAGAGGAAAAUGAUGCUCAGGCACUGAGGGAGAUUUGUGUUUCCCCUGAGUCUCAUGUCUGGUGGGCAGAAAAACCUUCCGUCAGCGCUGGUGAUUUAGUGGAACUUAAUGAGAACAGGGUCACGAAAAAGAGAAAAAAGAGAAAGAUGUCAGUAGUGCAAGACAGUGUAGAAAAAGACGGCAAGCAGGAUUUUGAGGAACCAAACGCAAGGGUGAAAAGAAAAAAGAAACGGAAGGGAAAUGAAAGUGAGUCGGUGACCCCCACAGAAACAUUGGAAAGGGCAGCUGACGUGGAACUUUCUCCAACUGUUGAGGCUGUGGUGUUAAAAAAGAAAAAGAAGAAGAAAAAGUGUAAAGAUGAGCCAUCCCAUGUGAUGCAAGAGGAUCCACCGUCUGCCACUAAAGAUAAAAAUUAG